GAGAUGAUAUAGGCACUUGAAGGGGCUCACAAACCAGGAGAAGGAGGUAUCUGGGCGGCUGAGGAGGAGACGGAGAAAACCAGUUAGAGAAGUCAACAUGCAGGAGCCUCACUUGGAGAUGGAAGAAGCCCAAGCUGCCUGAAGCCGAACCAUCUCCAAUUUUGGACAACUGCGAUUCCUGUAUCAUUUUCAAGUAUCCUUGAAGUCUGGACUGCGGCUAGUCAUCACCACGUCCCAGGAUCCCAAUCACUGAGCGGAAGGAAUAAAGCUCUCCAGGGGCCCUGGUGGCGUAGAGGUUACUUGUUGGGCAGCUAAGCGCCAGGCCAGCGGUUGGAGACCACCAGCUGCUCCGAGGAAGGAAGAGGAGGCUCCCUACUCCU